GAUGAACGCUGGCGGCGUGCCUAAUGCAUGCAAGUCGAGCGAACGGACGAGAAGCUUGCUUCUCUGAUGUUAGCGGCGGACGGGUGAGUAACACGUGGAUAACCUACCUAUAAGACUGGGAUAACUUCGGGAAACCGGAGCUAAUACCGGAUGAUAUUUUGAACCGCAUGGUUCAAAAGUGAAAGACGGUCUUGCUGUCACUUAUAGAUGGAUCCGCGCUGCAUUAGCUAGUUGGUAAGGUAACGGCUUACCAAGGCAACGAUGCAUAGCCGACCUGAGAGGGUGAUCGGCCACACUGGAACUGAGACACGGUCCAGACUCCUACGGGAGGCAGCAGUAGGGAAUCUUCCGCAAUGGGCGAAAGCCUGACGGAGCAACGCCGCGUGAGUGGUGAAGGUCUUCGGAUCGUAAAACUCUGUUAUUAGGGAAGAACAUAUGUGUAAGUAACUGUGCACAUCUUGACGGUACCUAAUCAGAAAGCCACGGCUAACUACGUG
rnacentral:rRNA from 1 species